rnacentral:rRNA from 1 species
AUUGAACGCUGGCGGCAUGCUUUACACAUGCAAGUCGAACGGCAGCACGGGGGCAACCCUGGUGGCGAGUGGCGAACGGGUGAGUAAUACAUAGGAACGUAUCCUGAAAUGGGGGAUAGCUCGGCGAAAGCCGGAUUAAUACCGCAUACGAUCUACGGAUGAAAGCAGGGGAUUCGCAAGAACCUUGCGUUUCUGGAGCGGCCUAUGUCUGAUUAGCUAGNGGCGGGUAAAGCCCACCAAGCGACGAUCAGUAGCUGGUCUGAGAGGAUGAUCAGCCACACUGGGACUGAGACACGGCCCAGACUCCUACGGGAGGCAGCAGUGGGGAAUUUUGGACAAU